rnacentral:rRNA from 1 species
UACGUAGGGGGCUAGCGUUGUCCGGAAUCAUUGGGCGUAAAGCGCGUGUAGGCGGCCCGGUAAGUCCGCUGUGAAAGUCGGGGGCUCAACCCUCGGAUGCCGGUGGAUACUGUCGGGCUCGAGUACGGAAGAGGCGAGUGGAAUUCCUGGUGUAGCGGUGAAAUGCGCAGAUAUCAGGAGGAACACCAAUUGCGAAGGCGAUCAUCUGGGGUUGUUCUGACGCUGAGGAGCGAAAGCUAGGGGAGCAAACGGG